GGAGAAACAAGAGCCCUGUCUGACAACAUGCCGCUCGUCUGCCGGCCCAGAAGUUACGGAGUGGAGGAUAAGAAGCAACAGGAUGACUACCGUCCAUGUUUGUUUGAUACAGUUUCGAUGAAUAUUCACCGACCUUUUGAUGGGGCGACAAGUUUCGAAGUCGGUGAGGGGGAGACUGCUAGCAGGGAUACCCUAAUCAUGCCCCCGAAAAAAACACGUUUCAUCGAAGAGAUCUAAAGAUGUAUCAUGGAGAAAUAAGAUGUACAGCCCUAUUUUGGGCAGUGAUGAUGUAUCAGAACCAGGGCCGUUGGACUGCGGGUGUAAG